GGGAUUUUUUAUUUAUAACUUUUUAUUUUCAAAUACAAAACAGGAAGUACUAUAACAAAAAACUCAAAAAUUUUAACUAGACUGAUAGACUCGAUACUACUGUACAAGACUAAUAAUUAUAGAUAACAUAAAAUAGACUGAAAACAAAAGUUUCCUCAAGCAGCUCGUGCAUGCAAUGGUCUUGACUAGAAUGGUUCUGGGUAUUUGUCAUGCUCAAACUCUAGCAAAUUGUUCCAUACCUGAAUGAGAAAAAAUAAGAUCAAAUAGAGUUAGUGAUUCAAGACACAUGUGACGCCACGACACCUUCUAUUGGACACAUGCAAGGCAUGAUUAAGGCUAUUUUUGCAAAAUGACCUACGUAGCAAAAAUAUGGCAAUUAACGCAAACUCAACAAAGAUAACCUCAAAGACAUGGACAUACCUUACUAAGGCUUAUAUGGAUUCAAACUCUCAAUAAUCAUGGCCCAAAAUUAAUUUGCAAAAAUGACCCAUUUUGCAAAAACGGUGAAUAUGGCCCGAAGUGGCUAAAGAUGCAAACUCAAAAAGGACGAACUUUAAAGUAAUAUGACACCUAGUUGUGGACUCAAAAUACUAAGACAUGGGUAAUUGAACCACUUUUGCAAAAAUGACCCCAUUUUGCAGCAAUGGCCAAAAGUGGCUAGACAUGCAAGAUAUGGUUAAGACCCCGCAAAUCCAAGAGCCUAAGACUCACUAAGAAGACCGAACCCUAUGUGGGUUGCCUAUGUAUCUCGCCUCGAAAGACGAGAAUCAGGUUCGCGUAGUUCGGGAAGAUUGGACAUAGAAGAAAGCUUUAAGAAUGAAAUGCAACUAGUUUGGAAAAACUAUUUUUUGUCUCUUUUUUUUUUAAAUGAUGGAAAAGGUAAAAUCUUUUUGGAUUUUCCUUUUUCUCUCUUUUUUUUAAAAUUUUUGGGAAAUGAUGGAAAAGUGUAAAUCUUUUUGAAUUUUCUUUUUCUCCUUUUUUUUGACUUUUUGGAAAAUGAUGGUUAUGUGCCAAAUUUUUUUGGAUUUUCUUUUUUUUUUUUUUGGGUAAAUGAUGGGAAAGUGUAAAAUCUUUUUGGAUUUUCUUUUUCUCUUUUUUUUUUUCUUUUCUUGAAAAAGUUGUGAAAGAAAAAUAUAACUAGGCCCUACUUGCUUCAUUUUUCACCCUUCCUUCCCAAACAUUGGUCUGCCAAAUGACCUUUUUACCCUCAGAGAUGCAACAUGAUUGAAGGCCUUUUUGGGUCACGGGCCCAUUUUUGAUAAAAUUUGGAUAGGCUUCCUACAACGGGACACGGUGUCUGGGACCGAACCCUGCUAGGUUUAAAUGAUAUGAUACACAUAAGCAUGACCUAAAGGCUGACCUACGGUUGGGGUUUACUAGACAAGGCAAUUCGGGGCGGCACGUGGUCGAUGGCGGCUGCUCUAGCUGUCCGCCCACUCACAAAAGGCCGUGUACGCUCAAACAUACUCCGGAAGACUUGUUGCAGAAAGAAAACCCGGGGUUAUGCAAAUGAUGACAAUUUAUAAAGUAGUAACACAUAAAAAAAAUAUUGUAAACAAAUAAGCAACUACCAAAUAAAAUGAUAUAAAUAAAAUAAAAAUCAAAUAAAGCAAACAAAACACAUAAAAACCUCACCCGAAUAUCCUAAAAAGCCAACAAGAUCAAGUACUAGCUCAAACCUGUAACUCCCCAGCAGAGUCGCCAGAGAUGUCACACCCCUUUUAUAACCCAACCUCACUAAACCCUCUUAAUAUAAAUAAAAAAAAUUAGUAAAGCUCGAAAAGGGUUUUCAAUUAGAAAGUGACAAAGAUAGUGUUCAAAAGGAUUAACUCAGAGUCGCCACCUGACAUUGGUUUCGAUGUGCCAGGUCACCGUUUUAUAAAAAUGAUUUUUUUCUUAUAAAACACUUUGGACUCCAAAACUAAGUCUGCACCAUAGAUUCGGGUAUGGGGGUUCAUUUGACUCGGGGAGAAGGUGUUAGGUAUUCCCGAGUCCCGUAACUAGUACGGUUGCAUACUUGAUCUAGUCGGCUUUUAGAAUGUUCGAAUUGAGAUAAAAACACACAAAGGAAAAUAAACAUCCAAAAGGUUCGAGGUCAUCCUUUCCUAAUAAAAGAAAAAUAAAACAAAAUGAAAUAAGUUUUCCUAGCCUAUACUACGCCUCCACAGAUGUUGCCACGACCUCCAUUUACAUUUACUUCGGGGCAUUCCCCGAUUUAAAAUAUAUACAAAUCCUUCGGGAUAUUCCUUGGAUAAUUUAACUAAAGGAAUGACCUCUCGCCUAAAUAAAUAAAAAAAAAUAACAAAAAUCCUAAGGUUUGCCUACCCAAGUCACGACCUAAAUAUGCUCUUAGCAAUCAAAUUAAUAAAGCAAUUUUUAGUUUUAAUUCCCGAACCCCACUACACACUCAUAUAAGAUAACAUUCAGUUCUUCUAGAUCAAUUCGAACUAAUCAGGAUAAUUAGGUCUUAAUUUGUUCACCUUCUUAUUAACUCAACUACACUGAUUCAAGUGUCUUUCCUCAAACAAGGCAUCAACCCAUAUUAGCGAUGUACUUACUUUAAUCAAAUCACGCCUACAUAAAAUUUAAGGAACAGUAGACCAUCCUAUUGCGUUUCAUCUUCAUCAAACAUCAGAAAUCAGAAUAAUCAUAUAGCCACGCCAAAUAAAAUACCACAUGUAUAGAAAAUUUAAAAGGAACAAACAGAUAGGAAAAGAAUUGAACCUUUAUUGCCGCAUAUCUUCACAAUUACAGUGAAAGAAAUUUUCCAAAAACAGCAAACCAAAGACGAGUUAUUGACCCAAGAUUUGAACAUGGGACGGAACCUCGGAUCGGAAACCACUGAUAAACCCUCGAUAAACUUUGCUCGGCUUUAGUUCAUAACUCAAUAAAAUCGAAAUUCUGAUCUACUUUUAGCUUUUGAUUUGGGUGACAAUGGUUUACAUAGCUUUUCCGGUUCCUCUUCUGUUUUCGUUCUUCUUUUUUUUUGUUUGUUUUUUUAGGUUAGAUCGGCGACGGGGCUGGCUGGUUUUGGAUAGAAGAAAGCUGGAGGCGCCGCUGGGUGGGGCAUGGCUGAUUCUGACAAGUUUAGAUGGUUGUUUCUCUCUCAUUUUCGGCGAGUUCUCCGGUGAUGGAAGUGAGAUCGAAACCAAAGAGAGCGAGCGUGGAUGCUGGUGGUUUUUGGAGUAAGGGAGAUGGGUCGAUGUUGCUAGGUGGUGGUUAACAGCGGAGGAAGUGGCGGAAUGUGAUGGUGUAUUGUUGGUGGUUGUAAGCACGUGAUUUUUGCUUUACGAGCAAUCACUCCAAAAGGAAAACAAAAAUAAAAAUAGUGACAAAUGACCCCGCGAUACAAAUUCUUCAUGACAUGUAUUGCUAGUCAUUUGUGGGUCUGUCCAUUUUGCAUUUAAUCAUUAUCAAACAAAAUACAAAAAAUAUGUGUGUCAUUAAAAGAAAUUCGAAAUAUAUAUAUGUGCAUCGUUCGGUCUAGGUUGUGAUUUAACUUACUUAAAUAUUUUUGUGAUAACUAUGUGAAAAUGUUA
rnacentral:lncRNA from 1 species